rnacentral:rRNA from 1 species
UACGUAGGGCGCAAGCGUUGUCCGGAAUUAUUGGGCGUAAAGAGCGUGUAGGCGGCUUGGUAGGUCUCGCGUCAAAACCUGAGGCUCAACCUCAGUUCGCGUGGGAAACCACCUAGCUAGAGUCCGGAAGAGGAGAACGGAAUUCCUGGUGUAGCGGUGAAAUGCGUAGAUAUCAAGAGGAACACCUGAGGUGAAGACGGGUUGCUGGGCCGACACUGACGCUGACAGCGCGAAAGCCAGGGGAGCAAACGGG